GAUCAUAGUUGUCCGAAUCGGGGAGCGCAGGAUCGCUCCCGUUCAAACACAUCUCUUUAGGACCGGCCGCCGACGCCCUUACGGGUCAGGCGUGCCGAUCGAUCAUGCGUAUCUAGGUCACAUGUUUAAAUAGACAAACUCAGUUUGAAAUACAACUGGUAGCAUUGGAUCCCUUGGCAUGCCAUUCGAUGAAGACCGUAGCAAAUUGCGAUAAGUGGUGUGAUAUGCGAGUCCAAAACUUAUACGUGAACCAUCGAAUUGUUGAACGCAUCGCAUCGAGCUUUGCCCAAGCACGAUAUGCCCCAUUGAGCGUCAUUAAGUCUUUGGACCUGGUCCAAGUUCGGGAUUCAUGGCCCAUUACGGUGACCACGCUUCCUUGGAAUCAUACGCACCGGGUCGGAGGCGGUGUGCUCCUUGUUGUGAACUUCAAGGCGCCCGUCUCUGCUGGUGUACGAUCUUGUGCCGAGUGUACAGAUCAAGCCCGGUCGACUCAGGUCGACCCUCUCAGACAUGACCUCACGGGGGUAAGACGACCCGCUAGACUUAAGCAUAUUAAUCAGCGGAGGAAAAGAAACUAACAAGGAUUCCCCCAGUAACUGCGAGUGAAGAGGGAAGAGCUCAACGUGUGAAUCUGACGGGGAGUAACGCCUCGUUCGAGUUGUGCACUAUCGGCUCUGGAUCAGCGUAUGGAUGUUUGCGGCGGAUGUCCAAUGAAACAUGGCACCGUAGCGGGUCACAGUCCUGUACACGCCCAUCGAACGUCUACGCUUAUGACCAGUGUCCGUAGAGUCGUGUAGUUUUGUAUUGCUGCACUAAUUGGGAGGUAGAGCCCUUCUAAAGCUAAAUAUUAUGGCAUGACCGAUAGCGAACAAGUACCGUGAGGGAAAGAUGAAAAGAACUUUGGAAAGAGAGUUAAACAGUACGUGAAAUUGCUGAAAGGGAAACGCUUGAAGUUAGUCGCGUUAAUUAAAGAUCAACCUGGCUUGCCUGGUGUACUCUUUAAUUGAUGGGUCAACAUCAGUUUUGACCAUUGGAUAAGGAUGUAAGGAAUGUGGCUCUUUUAGGAGUGUUAUAGCCUUAUGUCGUAUACAGUGAUUGGGACUGAGGAUCUCAGCACGCCUUACGGCCGGGUU
rnacentral:rRNA from 1 species